rnacentral:rRNA from 1 species
UACAGAGGGUGCGAGCGUUGUUCGGAAUUACUGGGCGUAAAGCGUGCGUAGGUGGUGGUUUAAGUCAGAUGUGAAAGCCCUGGGCUCAACCUGGGAACUGCAUUUGAUACUGGAUCACUAGAGUGCGGUAGAGGAUAGUGGAAUUCCCGGUGUAGCAGUGAAAUGCGUAGAGAUCGGGAGGAACACCAGUGGCGAAGGCGACUAUCUGGACCAGCACUGACACUGAGGCACGAAAGCGUGGGGAGCAAACAGG